UGCAGUGUUACAGUAUCUGCACCCAGCAGCUUUCUCCUGGUGGGAUGGUCAAAAAGCAGUGCUACACCAGUGCAGCAUUUGGUGUCCUUGGUUUUCAUUCUGCUGUUUGUUAAACCUGGUAUUUUUGCUAAAACAGUC
ensembl:snoRNA